ensembl:processed_transcript
CCCGCAGGUCCCGAGGCGCUUGCAGGGGACUCUGCCGCGGAAAGUUCCCAGUCCCCAGCCGCAGGUGUUUUCCCUCCUGCUGAUCGUGGAAAGAAAUCACCAAGAAGAGGGGAAAGUUGCCCCGGGGCCGGUAGUCAUGUAGGGGUUACCAAAGCAAGGGACUCUGGCAGAGAUGCGCGCGGACAAUUUAAAUGCCGGCAUAAAAUGAAGCUUUUUAUUUUUGGUUGAUUCCUGCUGUCUACUCCUCUUGGAUGCCUUUGUGAAACUGCUUCUAUCUGAGAAGGAGGAGUUGCCAUUUAGCAAGUAGUAGGUGGUACCGUGUGUGGCAGAGUCCGAUGUGUUACACCACGAGGACAUUCAUCUUUGCAAUUGGUGAAGUCCUUCUACCUAGUUCCCCUUCCUUGUGCACAGAAGAGGACUGGAAAACUCCUCACAGGACUGCAUACUGCUAUCUCUGAGAAACCAGAAAGAAGAAAGUACCUCUUCCUUCCAAGCUUCUACCUAAGAGUAUACUGGAAGGUUUACCUAGAGCAACAAGACAACGAAAUGGAUUGUCCUUCUCACGCUAGUCCACACACAAUCCUCAUCAUUUUGAUAAGAUAGCAUGAAGUCUCUUAUCGCUUGUGGAUCCAGCACUUUGGUUCAGGUGAGUAGCUUUUACCUAUGG